rnacentral:rRNA from 1 species
ACGUAGGUACCGAGCGUUAUCCGGAUUUACUGGGCGUAAAGCGUGUUCAGGCGGUCUAGCAAGUCGGGCAUGAAAUCUCUGGGCUCAACCCGGAGGGGUUGUCCGAAACUGCUGGGCUUGAGGGCAGCAGAGGGUGGUGGAAUUCCGGGUGUAGUGGUGAAAUGCGUAGAUAUCCGGAGGAACACCAGUGGCGAAGGCGGCCACCUGGGCUGUUUCUGACGCUCAAACACGAAAGCUAGGGGAGCGAACGGGAUUAGAAACCCCGGUAGUCCUAGCCGUAAACGAUGUUGACUAGGUGUCGACGGUCUAAACCCCGCCGGUGCCGGAGCUAACGCACGAAGUCAACCGCCUGGGGACUACGGCCGCAAGGUUA